UAUGUGCUUUAUUGCAGGGAUGCAGUUUUGUUACUGCAGAUUUCCACAAGUGCUAAGAGAAGUAAGAGAGAAAAUUUGUUUUGUUAAUUGUGCUGUUGUUUGUUUGUUUGUUUGUUUUCCUUAAAUGACAGUCAGUUCUUUUUCCUACUAAAGCUCUAAAUUCUUGUUUUAAACAGUGGCAUUCCUGGAGGAUUUCCCAUCCUACCAUCCCUUUUCCACAUACAGUCACAACAUUCCAGUGAAUUGCUUCUCUGUUGCUCUGUACUUCAGGUACCUCCAAUGAGGAAUUUAUAUAUAGAAAAGAAUCCACACAACCAUAACAUCAACAGAGAAAUGUGAUGUACUGCAUCAGUCCUGUUUACCCAGUUAAUGUACUGUCUCUUCAGUAAGUUCCUUUGGGUUGGAACUACGAGCCUUCCUCACCACCUAGUGGCGAAAUCAUAGACCAACACAGAAUGCGAGUGAGCAGCAACAGAUUCUGCAGCAGAGAUGGCACAGCGAAAGGUUGACCCUGUACAGAUCUGAUACUUGGGUUAUUUAUGUGACACUUAAUGGACACAGC